UGGGAAGUAAAAGUCGUAACAAGGUCUCCGUUGGUGAACCAGCGGAGGGAUCAUUACCGAGUUUACAACUCCCAAACCCCUGUGAACAUACCAAUUGUUGCCUCGGCGGAUCAGCCCGCUCCCGGUAAAACGGGACGGCCCGCCAGAGGACCCCUAAACUCUGUUUCUAUAUGUAACUUCUGAGUAAAACCAUAAAUAAAUCAAAACUUUCAACAACGGAUCUCUUGGUUCUGGCAUCGAUGAAGAACGCAGCAAAAUGCGAUAAGUAAUGUGAAUUGCAGAAUUCAGUGAAUCAUCGAAUCUUUGAACGCACAUUGCGCCCGCCAGUAUUCUGGCGGGCAUGCCUGUUCGAGCGUCAUUUCAACCCUCAAGCCCAGCUUGGUGUUGGGACUCGCGAGUUAAACCGCGUUCCCCAAAUUGAUUGGCGGUCACGUCGAGCUUCCAUAGCGUAGUAGUAAAACCCUCGUUACUGGUAAUCGUCGCGGCCACGCCGUUAAACCCCAACUUCUGAAUGUGACCUCGGAUUCAGGGUAGGAAUCCCCCACGG
rnacentral:sRNA from 1 species